CAUGAGAGCAGAGCAGAUAGCAACCCACGUUUCUAUGGCUGAGGGAAGCAUCUGCCCAAUGAGGUGACUUUAUGAAGAUGUUUUGCUGCAGAACAUGGGUCCCUCAUAACUCACACUGCAAAUGUGUGAUGAAAACAGCAGACUUGAAGAGCUAGGAACAGGACUGAGUGGUUUACUUCCCAUGUCCAGGAAAAAGUUUGAAAGCUAGAUAUCACCUGGUGUUGGAACCAGCUCACCUCUUUACCAGCAUGAAUGCAGAUAAAGGAAGAUGUUCCUUCAGAUGUGAAUUGUUCCUGGGAACUGGAUGCUUGGGUGAUUCUUACAGCAUAGAGAGGCCUUUGGCAGAGCCAAACUCUGCUGCAGCAGAAAUGAACGGAGAGAGGCAAAAGGAAUGAAGAGCCCAGUGUUCUGUAAAUGCUCAAUGGCUGACAACUUGGGGCAUCAAAUACACUCACUAGUAGGCAACUGAGGCAGAGAUUUAUCGACGCGACACUUAUGGCAGAACUGGGAAAUAAAUCAACCCUUCUAAGUGGCGGCCCAGUGCCUUAAUUACAAGAGCAACCAUUUCUCUGUUGUCAGCAGCAUUUACAAUGUUUCCAACUGGGAGAAGAAAAAUUAAUGAAACACUAUGAACUGCCUUCCAAAUGUUCCUUAGUAAAGAUGUAAAGUAUAAUGUGACCUGACACUGCUUAAUACUGAAUACUGUUCAAAACUUUCCCUUCAGCUAGAUGAUGGCACAAUGACUGCUUUCCCAUCAAAUACAUUUAUUCAACUUUC